rnacentral:rRNA from 1 species
UACGAAGGGGGCGAGCGUUGUUCGGAAUUACUGGGCGUAAAGGGCGCGUAGGCGGCCCUGGAAGUCAGGCGUGAAAGCCCCGGGCUCAACCUGGGAAUUGCGCUUGAUACUCCGGGGCUCGAGUUCGGGAGAGGAGAGUGGAAUUCCCAGUGUAGAGGUGAAAUUCGUAGAUAUUGGGAAGAACACCGGUGGCGAAGGCGGCUCUCUGGGUCCCUACCGACGCUGGGGUGCGAAAGCAUGGGGAGCGAACAGG